rnacentral:misc_RNA from 1 species
AUGUCAAGAUGGAAGGUCGUUAUUUUGUGCCUAUUAAGUUUUAUGUUUGAAAUCGGUCAUGCUUCUUUUCAAUGCAACCCAAAAACCUAUGACGGCGCGUUUCUCAACAUUGUUUGUGUUUGCAACGCAACGUUUUGCGAUGAAAUUGAGCCAAUAGGAGAGAUAGCUGAAGGGAAGGCAAUUGUUUAUAGAUCAAGUUUGGACGGCGAUAGAUUGAAACGCAUGAGUAUGAAAAUGAAAGAGAAAUUGAGAAAAAAUGAAUCAGUUAAUGUGACAAUUACAAUAGAUGCCAGUGAAAGAUUUCAAAAUAUUUUUGGUUUUGGAGGAGCAUUUACUGAUUCUGCCGGCGAUCAAUUUGUUUCCUUAUCGGAGACACUUCAAAAUUAUAUCGUUGAUUCAUAUUUUGGAAAAAAUGGAUUAGAAUAUAAUAUAGGAAGAGUUCCAAUAGCCAGUUGUGAUUUUUCUACUCAUGAAUAUAGCUAUGAUGACGUUCAUGAUGAUUUUGAAUUAAAACAUUUUGCAUUACCUGAUGAAGAUUUAAAACUAAAGAUUCCAUUUAUCAAGAAAGCAAUUGAAAAAACUGAAGGAAACAUUCAAUUAUUUGCCAGUCCAUGGUCAGCUCCUGGAUGGAUGAAAGUUACUGGACGCAUGAGGGGCGGAGGAGCUAUGAGAAAUGAUAAGCGUGUUUAUCAAGCGUACGCUGAUUAUUUUUUUAAAUUUUUCGAAGCCUAUUCAUCUCAUGCAAUUACCUUUUGGGGACUAACAAUUCAAAAUGAGCCAUCAACAGGAGCUGACAUGGCAUGGAGAUGGCAGACUAUGAAUUAUACAGCAGAAACGAUGCGAGAUUUUCUAAAAAAAUAUCUUGGCCCAAAACUGAAAGAAAAUAAACUAACGGAAACUUUGAAAGUUAUGGUUUUGGAUGAUGGAAGAGGAUUACUCCCUGGAUGGGCUGACACUAUUUUCAAUGACCCGGAAGCAACCAAAUAUGCAGAUGGUGUAGCAGUUCACUGGUAUGGUAACUUGUAUUCUCCUGCUGUUCUUCUUGAUAUUACUCAAAGGCAUCAUCCAACCAAAUUUAUUUUUGGAACCGAGGCAUGCGCGGGUUACGCUAUUCAUCAUGGCCCAUUAAUGGGUGACUGGUUUACGGCAGAAAAUUAUGCAUCUGAUAUUAUCAGUGACUUAAACCACCACUUUACUGGAUGGACCGAUUGGAACUUAUGUCUGGACGACAUGGGCGGCCCGACUUGGGUUGAUAACUUUGUUGAUUCUCCAAUUAUUGUAAAUCGUACAGGGCAAGAGUUCUACAAACAACCAAUGUUCUAUGCAAUGGGACAUUUUAGGCAUGUGCUGGCUACUUUGGACAUCAUGGUCCAAUAAUGGGAGACUGGUUCCGCGCAGAAAGUUAUGCAGAUGAUAUCAUCACUGAUCUUAAUCAUCACGUUACGGGAUGGACUGACUGGAAUCUUUGCCUUGAUGAAACUGGUGGGCCAAAUUGGGCCUACAAUGUUGUAGAUUCCCCAAUCAUUGUCAACCGAACUGCUCAAGAGUUUUACAAACAACCAAUGUUCUAUGCAUUGGGCCACUUUAGUAAAUUCCUUCCACGUGGAUCUACUCGUGUGUUCACAAAGAUCGAGGGAAACCUGGCUGUCUCAGCUACAAGUGUUGUGAUUGAAGGUGGAAGACGAGCUACAGUUAUUUUAUCAAAAGCGUCCAACUCAUUAUUGACACGUAUAGUUGACAGUUCAACAGGAUUCUCUAUUGUGCUGAAUUUGCCCCCAAGAUCCAUUCAUACAGUGAUUUGGAAGAAAAGAAAAUAA